GUAGGUGGCAAGCGUUGUCCGGAAUUAUUGGGCGUAAAGCGCGCGCAGGCGGUUCUUUAAGUCUGAUGUGAAAGCCCACGGGCUCAACCGUGGAGGGUCAUUGGAAACUGGAGAACUUGAGUACAGAAGAGGAAAGCGGAAUUCCACGUGUAGCGGUGAAAUGCGUAGAGAUGUGGAGGAACACCAGUGGCGAAGGCGGCUUUCUGGUCUGUAACUGACGCUGAGGCGCGAAAGCGUGGGGAGCAAACAGGAUUAGAUACCCUGGUAGUCCACGCCGUAAACGAUGAGUGCUAAGUGUUAGGGGGUUUCCGCCCCUCAGUGCUGCAGCUAACGCAUUAAGCACUCCGCCUGGGGAGUACGGCCGCAAGGCUG
rnacentral:rRNA from 1 species